UACGUAGGGUCCGAGCGUUGUCCGGAAUUAUUGGGCGUAAAGGGCUCGUAGGCGGUUGGUCACGUCGGGAGUGAAAACUCAGGGCUCAACCCUGAGCGUGCUUCCGAUACGGGCCGACUAGAGGUAUGCAGGGGAGAACGGAAUUCCUGGUGUAGCGGUGAAAUGCGCAGAUAUCAGGAGGAACACCGGUGGCGAAGGCGGGUCUCUGGGCAGUAACUGACGCUGAGGAACGAAAGCGUGGGUAGCGAACAGG
rnacentral:rRNA from 1 species